GCAGAGUCCCGCCCCUGACUAGCAACUGAACUUAGACUGAAGAAAAAUUCAGUCCCUACUGUUCUUGGCAAAUCUGCAUAUGACAGAAAUAGUCCUGCUGUAGGGUGACGACUGGUAGGAUGGCGUUCAGUUUCUCCAGACACUAGGAAACAAUGGAGAGGCUUUGUACCAUCUUCACUGAAAUCGCUGUUUGAAGAAGCACCCCCUCCUUUGUAGCUCAAGCAUCAACCAGGCAGCAGUGUCCUACAUAAAAAAGAGAGAAGGGGGGUACGGGGGAGCAACAUGAAAACCCAAACAGCCUCCCAGGGGAAAGAACAACAAGGAUAAAAAGACAGAAGAUGAAGCAGGCAUAGCCAGUAUACAGAUUGAGAAUGAUACAUACUUGUACAUCUGCAUGGAUACACACCGAGGGGAAUGACGGCAGAGUAAGACAGCUCAUGGAGUCACAAAAGUGGCAUGCUAAGUCCUUGGCUCACUCUGUUUCACCUCAGGAAUCUGCCCCAAGAGGACUCCGGUGACACACUACUCAAUAUGGAUAAUAUAUGAGCAGCUAUGUGGUCAUGGCAAAUGAGUACAUUAAGUUUCUGUCAGCACAUCAGAGCAAUGUCUGUAAUAAGCAUGCAAGU